CUACAGUUCAGUACAAAAGGUGUGACACAAAUACAGUCGAUAUUACAGUAGGCUACUAUCAUUUGUGUUACUGUGUUAUGUGAUGUUGUAUUUUUCCCUGAUUGGAUGACUGUCUCCAGAAAGGGAAGUGGGUGGGGUGCUUUAAGAGUCUCGCGCAAUAACAGCCCUCAUAUCAAAUAGUCGUCCCCAGGCAGCAAAGCGCAAGAGCACACAUGCUUUUAGGACGAGCGAACAUCACAGAGCACGAAGUUUGACCAAACCGGACUCUUGUAACGGAUAAAGACUUGUCACCUCUCAAGAACUCAGUCUAUCUGCUGACCACGUCUGUCUGAGGCGUGUAACAGAUUUUGAGGCUCGUCCGGGAUUGGCGCCACCUGCUGGAGGUAUCUGAUCCAGAGAUUUAUGAACCAGGGACAGCAUGACGCUUGACCAGAGCGAGAGGGCUACAAGUGGGCGACUUAGCAGCGGCAGGUGACCAGCAUGAAAGGGGAUCCUGACUGAGAGGAGUGCAGCACUAUGUACCUUAAGUGUUUGGAAGCGUGCAUCAUGUCCAAUGACAAAAAGGGUCUGGGCCAUUAAGAAAAGGUUGCCUACACUGGCAUCUGAUUUAAGUUUUCCAGUUGAAAGUCUUGAUGUGGUACCAGAGCUAGACCCAGCUAAGUUAAACAAGUUUAUUGAGGAAGGUUGUUUUGACAGUGAGUGAAUUCAUGUGUUGCAAGACCCUACUUGAGCUACAGGAUAGGGGUAUGGCUCAGUUACUGUUUAUAAAGGAUGCUAUUGACGAGGUUAUCCAAGGAUGUGAAGGUAGUCCAGUGUCCAGAUUUAUCCGCUAAUGUAGCUACUGCUGAUACUGAAAUACAAGAGUCUGAGUGUCAGUGGAUUUUGACCAGUUAUAAGGAGCUAGGCAGAGAACUCCUUCAGUGUAAAGUAACACCUGCCACACCCACACCAGACAAACCACCUACUGUAAAGGAACUUGGCAGCUUGUCUAAAAUCCUGAGCACAGACCAUGUAGCACACCUCACAGCUGAUGGCAUUGUCGCCAUCAGAGACCUACCAUAUCUGCAGUGCAAGACGUGGGGGGGGAUCAAAUAGGUGACAACACUUCUGACAUUAGUUACAACAGCAUAUGUAAACAAAUAAGAGGGGUUAAAAUAAAAACACAGUGAAGCUGAAAUCAUCACAGGAAUCUUCCGCAUCAUCAAACCAGAACUUUAAAGACAUGCUAAUAAAUAAGAAUGAUAGGAUUGUUGCUGAGCUGAAACAUUUGUUUCGGUCUCACUUAGGAGAAAAGAGCAGCAACGUCGAGGUAAGGAUGGACCGCCUGGGCAACGGUGAUCCAGAUCUGUCAAUACGGGUGCCGUUCCUGGUUAGUCUCAUGACACUAGAGCAGCCGUUCCCAAACUAAGUGAGGCCGCCUGAUAUGAAAAUGGGGUCGUGGCAGAAUUAAGACCCCUCUCUUAUUACUCUUAUCAGAUAAAGCACUACUAAGGCAUGUAAUCAAAAUAACAAGCAAUGAAAGUGAGAGACCGGGUAGGUUGGGCCAAACCUCUCGCCACAAGAUGACACACCCACAGUGCCCAGCUUGAAGUAGAAUGGACUAAAGCACUCUUGGGAGACUGAUCGACACGUUAGCCAGUCCGCCUGUCUUAGCCUGCCUCAACUUUGAAUUGCCUUCACGCGCCACACUGAUGCCUCUGACAAGGGGCUUGCUGCUACCAAGAAACUGAUGCAUGAAUGGGGAAAACUACGCAUUGACAAUGUACCGGAGAACCAGUCAAAGACAUGAGCUAGUCUUACCAGUCCUGUACAAGCAAAUGGUCUUGAAACAUGUUAAUGAUGACAUGGUUCAUGUUGGAAGAGAGACAUUGGCGCUGUAUCAGGCAAAAGAAGACAGUCACACAUGUACGAGCACCAACUGGCAAUAUCAACCACAAGUUCACCACUAGAGCUAGUCUCUAUCGACUACAUGCAUCUGGAGGCCAGCAAAGGUGGCUUUGAUUACAUCCUGGUAGUCAUCAACCAUUUCACAAGAUUCGCACAAGCGUAUCCGACCAAGAUCAAAUCCGGAAGAACAGUAGCUGAAAUGAUAUUCAAUGACUUGAUCCCAAGGUUCGGAUACCACUCCAAGUUACACCACGAUCAAGGUUGAGAGUUUGAAAACAAGUUCUUCAAAACACUGCAGCAAAUGACUGGAGUGGUUCACUCAAGGACAUCUCCCUAUCACCCUCAGGGCAACCCUGGCUGAAAUAUUCAAUAGGACUGUACUUCAGAUGCUGAGAACGCAAACCGGCGACAGUCCUUGUACGAAACCUAAGUGAGAGAGGUGGUCCUGGAAAGUUAAGGUCAUACUGGGAAAAGACAAUAUACAUAGUGAAAGAGCAAUUGAGUUACAAUCCAGUGUACAAACUCUGUCCAAAGAUGGGUGGGAACAAGACCUGUAUCUUCCACCACAAUCUCCUGCACCUAGUCAAUGACUUACCUGCAGACUUACCCCCGCAGCCUGCACAGACAAACCCACCUAAAGAGAAAAGGAAGAGCUGACCCAAAACAAUGAUGCAAGACUCAGAUGACGAAAGCACAGGAGCACAUACCUGGAUGAUAAUACCUGUAAGCAAAGAACAAUGUGAGACUUAUCUGUGAUACUCCGAGGAACCCAGCAUGCGUAGGACCCACACAAGACGCUGUACCUACCAGAGUUAUUGCACCUGAAAGAGAAAUCCAAAGACCAGAACAGUCAGGAGGAGAACAAGAAGAGGAAUACUUACCCGCUGAACCAGCACGGUCAGACACAGAGAUGGAUAUGGACGAAGAAUACCUGUACGAAGAACACCUGUACAAGAGGAAAGACUCAUAGUAAACCCCCCACUAGUUGACACAGGUUGGACAGGCUAGGAGGUCCACACGUGAGAGAAGGCCUGCACAGAUGCUUCUUAGCACACGCUAGGUCAGCCAUCCUUCCAGCCACACACCACAAUCAACACUGAGAGGUUUAUGGGGUGCCACCUAUGACAGUCUGGGGGAAUUCCAACAUACGACAUUCCACAGCCUUACCAAACACUACCCUACCCCACACUAGUGCCUUACCGUAUUAAUAGGAAAGAAUCUAAAGUGAAACACUUAUACAUACCAAUUACAUGUAAAUAAGCGUUAUAUGUCAGGAGACAUUUUCUUUUUGUCAGGGAGUGUGACGCACACAUUUUUGACGUUUUAUUUAUUUUAUGGCGCAAUCCCUUGUUUAAUUUUCUAGGUCUCCCAUGUAUUUGCGUUGAAGGUAAUGUAUAUGGUUACCACCACUAGGGGGAGCUGUGAUGUCAAUGGGGAGCAUUAGUGGGAUUGUGAUGUCUUGGAUGUUUCUUCAGUCUUUGAAAAUGCCUGAUACAGAACACUAACUUUUCUCUGUCUUAUCAUUCAGGAAUGUAAUGUGUAAAAGCACAAUUUGAGUCUUGAAAUAUGAUGGUUAACUACAUAGUCCAUGAUUUUGGAGAUGUUUGAAGGGAGUUUUAAUUGAGUUAACUGGUUUGUAUUUUCCCCGUUAAGCAAUGGUUGCUAAUGGUUUACAUGCAAGCAAAGGCAACAAACAAGAUGGUGUCUGAAAUUUUUGACUUUUUCAACAAUGUUUUUAUCUCCUAUUUGUUUUCUUUUCUAUGAACAAAGGCUCUGUUUACUUCAGGUAAUAUUUGUACAUAUGCAAUGUGGCGAUAGAAUGUGUUUGUAUUAGCAUUCAAAAUAGCAUUUAACAGUUCGCUAACUUUAUUCUAACCAAAUGUAGCUUUGCUAAGCACUAGCUAGCUCUACGCUAUUGGGUUUCAGUUAUUGUGAGCUCGAAUAUUGAUAGUUUAGAAUGUAAUGUUUCUAUUAUUGUUUAGCACAGGGCUCCAGUGAUUUGUAGCAUUAUGGGAAUUGACACUGCUAGUACAGUGAACUCUAUAGAAUGUGAUGUAGCCUUUUCUGGUACAACUUGAUGGUUUGACAUUCCAAAUAGCUUUUAUUGGUAUAUGCUGAAUGCUAUACUGAUUGAAUAGCCUCAGGUUAUAUUCACUAUUAAUUUGACUAUUAGUGAAAGGUAAAAUGUGAGUUUUUGUAGAUGUAUGGAGAUGGCUUUUUGAAUUUGAGACCUUUAUUUUGAAACCCAAUAUGGAAUGUGAAAAUAAUUGAAUACUACAAUGCAGUUGUAAUGUAUACUUGAUGAUUUAUUUAGACAAAAAAAAAAGUGAACAAAAGAGAACUGAUACUGAACACUAACUUUUCUCAGUCUCAUCAUUCCACCCUGUUAAUUCAGGUCUAUUAACUGCUGAUCACGUCUCAGUCCGAGGCAUGUAACACUUAGCAUGCCAUGUUUGUUUACCCAUACAAAGCAGUUCAUUUUAAUCUAUUCAAACAGACCCCAUUUCAAAGGAAACAAGCACUCAUUAAGAUCAGGUGUGGUCAAUUAGUGGGCGCGGCCAACGGAAUAACGUUGUUUCUUAAUGUUUUUGGAAGAAUUUGAGAACAUGACUUUAAAGCUGCAAUAUGUAACUUUUUGGGUGACAUGACUAAAUUCACAGAAAUGUGAGUUAUAGCUCUGUCAUUUUCAUUGAAAGCAAGUCUCUAAGAAGCGGUAUAUCUGUUCUAUGUGAGCUAUUUCUAUGCGUUCUGUUCUUCAGUUUUGUUUUUGCCUCUUACUUUAGGUUUUGUACACCAGCUUCAAACAGCUGAAAAUACAAUGUUUUUGGUUAUGGGAAAGAUAUUUCACAGCAGUUUGAUGGUACAAUGAUUCUCUACAUUAUACUUGCUUGUUUUGUCAUAUAAACAGAUAUUAGGUGAACUAUUAGAAUUAGUGAUUUCUGCAUAAUGCAUCUUUAAAUUGAACCAUGAGGAAACCUGUAGGAAACGUUAUGCUGAAGUACUGAAAUUCCCUCAAAUGUUGUUUCUUAACAUUCUCUGAACUAUUUGAGAACAUUCCCAAUGUCAAACCAGUUGGAGAACAUUCCUAGAACAUCAUCAAAAUUGAGAUAUGUAACCAUGUUUGAACUUUUAGGAAACUUUCUAUUAAAGUAAUGAAAUACCAAGAACAUUAAAAACGUAUUUUUUGGUGAAGUUCCUUAAAUGUGCUGAGAAUGUUCCAAAGUCAAGCAACUAUCCUGCACUAUUCCCAGAAAGCUGUGGGAAUGUUGUAUACAAAAUAACCAUAGAACGACCACAUUCUCACCAUUCUCUAAGAAACAUAUGGUUCUCAGAACGAUAUGUGCUAGCUGGGAAUUAGCUAAUUAUAGUACCUUUGCCAAAGUGCAGCAAUAAAACGUGAAUGCUCUGACUGAAGCAGAAAAUUGGGAAUACUGUUUUGGCACAAUAUUAUUCAGCAAAAACAAUGUUAGUGUCAGUUAUGAUUUAUGACACUGUGCAAUUGUUUAUACAUUGCUCUUAAGAUUAUUUAGUUUUUUUCCAUUAUGUGGAAAGGCAUUUUGUAUGCUUUCUUGGACCAUAACAAAACAAUAUAUCAUUGUUUUGUGUCAAGGUGAUCAAACGUUAUUAAAUAUCACUAAUGUCAUGAGCCUGAUGAGAUAAUAGUAGUUAGAGGGAUCUAUUUUGGAUUUUAAACACAGGGUAUAAUCCCAUCAGAAUCUACAGUGAACACACUUCAUCUGAAUUACAAUGUCCAGCCAUGCUACUCUCAGAGAGGCCAUAUUUCUGUUAUACAUCAUCUAGCAAGAAUAUAAUGAAAUUUGACUGCUCGGGAACAGUGAGUGCACUAACGGAAAAUAAAGUUUUCAAAUAAAUCAAGGUGAACAGUGUUGUCAAUCAUGGAAUAACCUGCAGCCUCCCGUAUGAGGUGGACCAAAUACCAAAGUGCCAUGAAAUUUUAUGACUGUGUGUUAGUGUACCACACUGUAAGAACUACUUUAGAGUUACUAUGUAUGAUGUGCAUACGGUCUAUUUUGGUUUGAAAGGAGACGGGUAUCUAAGCAAUGUUAUCGAAUAAGCAAGGAAAAACAUUUUAAUAUUUACUGAAGGAAGAAUACUGGAAGUGUAACAGGUGUCAGUGUGAUGCUAACAGCUUAGCUUCCUCCACUAUCCGACUGCCCCCAUACUGGGCUCAAACCAGUGAUCCUCUGCUUUGCAACACAUGUGACUGCCUUCCUUGACAACGUGUAAACCGAUUUGAGAUAUACAAAUGGUGCGAGUGCACUCAAUUGUCUCAGUUCAAUUCCAACCGCGAUGUCCCAGUCAAAUGUCCCUCUAUAGAGGACGAUGAUCAUUGUAAAAGCAGUAGAUGACGAAGUAGUUUGUAGAAGAUGGCAGUUCGCACUGGUGCCUUAACGGGGGUACAAAACCGGUCAAGAGUAUCUGUUCACAAACAUCACAGGAAAAUAUGACCCAAUUCUCUUCUGGUUCAGCACACUCUUAUCUUUAGUAGUAAAUGAAUUGUAGACAGCAUCCAACGUAAUCGUACGCCGUUUCGUGGUGGUUUGCCAUCUGCUUUACAGAGACGAUAAUGCCUGUGCAGUAGCGCUCUGGAGCAGUGCGAGUUAAUAUCUUUGGCUGAAUUUAAUUGGACUUCUCUAUGGAGGCGUCUAUGGGAGUUGUCUUUUUGGGCUGGCUCGACUUCUGCUAAACUGCAAUUCCGAAAGUGUACUGAGCACAGUGGAAAGUGUGCUUCUUGACUGGAACCCUGGG
rnacentral:lncRNA from 1 species